AUUGAACGCUGGCGGCAGGCCUAACACAUGCAAGUCGAACGGUAACAGGAAGAAGCUUGCUUCUUUGCUGACGAGUGGCGGACGGGUGAGUAAUGUCUGGGAAACUGCCUGAUGGAGGGGGAUAACUACUGGAAACGGUAGCUAAUACCGCAUAACGUCGCAAGACCAAAGAGGGGGACCUCCGGGCCUCUUGCCAUCGGAUGUGCCCAGAUGGGAUUAGCUAGUAGGUGGGGUAACGGCUCACCUAGGCGACGAUCCCUAGCUGGUCUGAGAGGAUGACCAGCCACACUGGAACUGAGACACGGUCCAGACUCCUACGGGAGGCAGCAGUGGGGAAUAUUGCACAAUGGGCGCAAGCCUGAUGCAGCCAUGCCGCGUGUAUGAAGAAGGCCUUCGGGUUGUAAAGUACUUUCAGCGGGGAGGAAGGGAGUAAAGUUAAUACCUUUGCUCAUUGACGUUACCCGCAGAAGAAGCACCGGCUAACUCCGUG
rnacentral:rRNA from 1 species